GUCCCACACCUGCUGAGGUGGAGCAGGCGUGGGUGGUGGCCUUCAAGUUUAGGGAGGUGGUAUGGGGCUCUUCCCAAGGGGCUGGAGCUCCCCUACAUUCACCCUGGGUCCUCCAGGUGUCUGAGUUCAGAGCUGUAUCCACAGGCCUGAGUUAGUUCCCUUGUAGUGCCCUGUGCACGCAGGGCCCUCUGUGGGGUGGGAGACAGACUGGGAGGGACCAGGAUGCCACAGAGGCUGCAAGUCCUUGUGUGGAGAAAGCUGGCCAGGCUGAACCAGGGAGGGUUCCAGGGGUUCCAGGAGGUGAAGACACAGGGGCGCCGGCAUGGCCUUCCCAAGAGGGCCUGUCCACCUUCACCAAGGUGUUCAGGCAGAGGCUGGGCGCUGUAGAAGUGACUUGGGCUGAAGGUGACGGGGGAUGGGUAGUCUUUGUGACUUGGCCUGUCUUGUUUAAACCUCUUUCAAGGUGAGGUUGGGCUGGGGAUGGAAGGACUGCCCUUCAUCCAUCAGGUACCUAAGCAGAAUGAUUCCUGCAGGCAGGCCGAUGGGGCAGGAGCAGCCCCUGCCUAGGAGGUCCCUGCCCAUUCCCCACCCCUCCCCGGUCCAGGAUUCCCAGGGGCAGGCCCCCUGGUGCCUGCAGAUUCUCAUCCUGGGGUGCAUCAGGAAGCACUUUGCUCAUCAGCUCACCUCCACAAGUUUGGAGGGGCUAAGAUGUCAGCCUCCAAAAGGGGACAGCAGGCUGGGUGAGGUGGCUCAUGCCUGUAAUCCCAGCACUUUGGGAGGCCGAGGAGGGUGGAUCACCUGAGGUCAGGAGUUCCAGACCAGCCUGGCCAACAUGGUGAAACCCUAUCUCUACUAAAAAUACGGGUGUGGUGGAGGGCACCUGUAAUCCCAGCUACUAGGGAGGCUGAAGCAGAACUGCUUGAACCCAGGAGGCAGAGGAUGCAGUGAGCCGAGAUUGCAUUAUUGCACUCCAGCCUGGGCAACAAGAGCAAGACUCCAUCUCAAACAACAAAAACCCAAAAGGGGACAGCAGUGGUGGGAGAGGCCAGCAUCUGUACACCCCAUCAGGGUCCCCGCUGUGUGUGCCCCUCAGGCGGCCACCAGCCCUACCAGGUCCUCCCCUCCCGGCAGGUCUUCGCCUUGAUCGUGUUCUCCUGCAUCUAUGGUGAGGGCUAUAGCAAUGCCCACGAGUCUAAGCAGAUGUACUGCGUGUUCAACCGCAACGAGGAUGCCUGCCGCUAUGGCAGUGCCAUCGGGGUGCUGGCCUUCCUGGCCUCGGCCUUCUUCUUGGUGGUCGACGCGUAUUUCCCCCAGAUCAGCAACGCCACUGACCGCAAGUACCUGGUCAUUGGUGACCUGCUCUUCUCAGGUAUCUGCCUGUAGCACCUCCAUUUGAUCUUGGGGGAGGCAUUAACUCUAGGGUUCCGCAGCUGGGAGGGUCUCGGCCUCUCUGGGAGGGGCAGGGAGCAGCUCACUCCUCCAGGGCAUUUUUAGGAAAGGGUUUUCAGCUAGUGUUUCUCCUUGCUUGAAUGGCACCAGCCCUGCCUGGGGUAGCUAGAAGCUGAGUGGACCUGCAGCACACCCGAACAGACGGGCUUUGCCUCUGCCCCUUUUGUCCCCUAGGCUGUCUGCUGUGACCCACCCUGCCAAGGCCCGAGUGUGGGGGACUUUGAAGGUGGAUCCCGGCCCGGCUUCCAAGUCCUCCCCUCCAUAGUGUGGAAGCUCCCCCGGGAGGUCCCUGCCCUACCUGCCCGCGUCCCCUCCCAGAGUCCUGGAAAGCCCCUCCCUUUCCAUGGAACUGACGCUUCACCCGUCCUCCCCCAGCUCUCUGGACCUUCCUGUGGUUUGUUGGUUUCUGCUUCCUCACCAACCAGUGGGCGGUCACCAACCCGAAGGACGUGCUGGUGGGGGCCGACUCUGCGAGGGCAGCCAUCACCUUCAGCUUCUUUUCCAUCUUCUCCUGGGUAGGAUGGCCAGGGGCCGGUUCUUGGGCAAAGGGUGGUGGAGGGUGGGGUCCCCCACCCACCUGUACCCUGCUGUGCUCCCCCUGCAGGGUGUGCUGGCCUCCCUGGCCUACCAGCGCUACAAGGCUGGCGUGGACGACUUCAUCCAGAACUACGUUGACCCCACUCCGGACCCCAACACUGCCUACGCCUCCUACCCAGGUGCAUCUGUGGACAACUACCAACAGCCACCCUUCACCCAGAACGCGGAGACCACCGAGGGCUACCAGCCGCCCCCUGUGUACUGAGUGGCGGUUAGGGUGGGAAGGGGGACAGAGAGGGCCCUCCCCUCUGCCCUGGACUUUCCCAUGAGCCUCCCGGAACUGCCAGCCCCUCUCUUUCACCUGUUCCAUCCUGUGCAGCUGACACACAGCUAAGGAGCCUCACAGCCUGGCGGGGGCUGGCAGAGCCACACCUCAAGUGCCUGUGCCCAGAGGGCUUCAGUCAGCCGCUCACUCCUCCAGGGCAAUUUUAGGAAAGGGUUUUUAGCUAGUGUUUUUCCUUGCUUUUAAUGACCCCAGCCCCGCCUGGAGUGGCUAGAAGCCAGCAGGCACCCAUGUGCUACUGACAAGUGCCUCAGCUUCCCCCCGGCCCGGGUCAGGCCGUGGGAGCCGCUAUUAUCUGCGUUCUCUGCCAAAGACUCGUGGGGGCCGUCACACCUGCCCUGUGCAACGGAGCCGGACCAGGCUCUUGUGUCCUCACUCAGGUUUGCUUCCCCUGUGCCCACUGCUGUAUGAUCUGGGGGCCACCACCCUGUGCUGGUGGCCUCUGGGCUGCCUCCCAUGGUGUGAGGGCGGGGCUGGUGCUCAUGGCACUUCCUCCUUGCUCCCACCCCUGGCAGCAGGGAAGGGCUUUGCCUGACAACACCCAGCUUUAUGUAAAUAUUCUGCAUUUGUUACUUAGGAAGCCUGGGGAGGGCAGGGUGCCCCAUGGCUCCCAGACUCUGUCUGUGCCCAGUGUAUUAUAAAAUCGUGGGGGAGAUGCCCGGCCCUGGGAUGCUGUUUGGAGACGGAAUAAAUGUUUUCUCAUUC
rnacentral:sRNA from 1 species